rnacentral:ncRNA from 1 species
UUGGGGGCGUUGAGGAGAUUUGGAGUGUCGCAGCAGAAGAGCAGUUGAUCUGAGAAAUACCGGUGAACUUGAUCUGGAUAAUACCAGCGAAAGGACAUGCUUCUUUGAUAUCC